AGAAGAAGACGGUUUGCCUUGCCGGGCGGAACCGAUGGUAAUCUUCAAAUCCAGAAGGAACCCCCGUAGCACCAUAUUGCACUAAGAAUUUCAUGUCCUGAUAUCCAUCGAUUCUUUUUACCAGUAAUGAGAGAUGGAGGUGCAUGGAUGACUUUCAUGUUGAAAUAAUUCAGAUAGGCAGGGCUACAAAUGUCUGCUCUGACAGGAAAGUACGAUCUUCCUUCAUUAAUUUUGUUACCGCUUGAUCUGGAAACUUCAACAUAUGUGCUUCUUGAUGUAUCCUUCGUCAGCUCCAUUUCCUAAUUCCUUCACAAAUGAUUUAAACUGUUCUUUGCCUGUAUUGUAGAUAAUUAUUACAAAUCCUGACAGCACAAUCAGGUAUGGCAAUCUCUUCAGUAUCCAACACCAGUAUGCAGUAUUACAUUUGUGAAUCUAGCAACUUCUUUGAGUUCAUCAUUCUGUUCAUAACGACUAGUCUUACUUAUCAGUUCUUUAGUACCAACUGCAUCCUCAUAUUCAACAAGUCGACAAAUUUAAUUUUAAGGCAGCAACCAUCCAUCGUCUUAAUGCUGAUGGAAUCUCAGAUAUACCAAUUACUCCUUCAUCAUCUUUGAUAAUCUUAUUUUGUUCCUGAGCUUGAUCAAUUGACAGACAGACAUGGAAUGAAUAUCUUAAGAAACCAAAAUUUAAUUUAAAUCGGCAGCAUUUCCAAAUAAAUCUGCAAGUUUAUAUGAGCAUUCAUACCCAACAUUUAUCUGCAUUUAUCUGCCCCACUAUGAGCUUUCUACGGUCCUUCUUGAACUUUUUUGGGAUUUUCCAGGGCAUUAUGUAUUCUUUCCGAGAGCUUUCGAUGUGCAUCCAGGGUUUUCUAGACUUUUAUGGUUCGAGGUAGUGCCCAGAAGAUUCUUUAGAGCUUUAAAAAAAGACGAAGAAAUGCACGUUACAUUUUAUGGAAAGCGCUAAAAGCUUUGCAAGCUUUAGGUAGCAAUCAAAGCCUCCCAGACAUUUAUUAUAACUGUAAAAUUCCUUUCAAAAGCCCUCUAGUGUCAGUGAAGGACCGUAUAAACGGAUAGACCCCUUUCAGAACUCCUUAAGAGAGCUAAGCACAGCUUUCGAUGCGCGUUUCAUUCCUAAUUUCUAUAGCACAUUGCCAGAGAGUUUUAGUUCAUUUCGAGAUAUAAUGUAAUGUACUACAACAUACAAACGAUUUGGUAUAGUUCGGGAAAGGAUAUUCGCACGGAAUCAUAAGAGCUGUAAACCCUGGACAUUUUGCGAUAAUGAAAUUUCAGAUGUUUCAGAAUUUCUUAAAUUCAAACGAUUUAGGCCAUUCAGUAGAUACUCAGUGUUAACAAAGAAAUGUUUUUUUACUGCAAAAUGAAGGAAAGCAUAACUAAAAACUGUAAAGUACGUCAGGAUGCAAUUAUAUAAAUUACGCACACUCAUUCCAUUUUAUUUGAUGCAGUACAAUGCAAUGCUUGUAAUUUGGUAAAACAAUAUUGUUCAAUUAUGCAUGUGACCCUGAUGAUGUUAUUUUCAAUUACCGAAAUAACAUUAGUUUAUGACCGUAUAGAAAUUGAAUAAAAUAUUUCAAUAGGAACUAGAAAUUUUUGUCAGUAAAUUACAUCGGGAGGAGCUACAUUCAACAGGCAGCAGGAUGGAUGAAACUUUGAAGGAUAAUCUCAAUACUAUAAGACCUUUGAUAUUGCUAACAAAUGCGUUUGGAUUACAAUUUAUCAGUGUGUAUAAAUCAAAAUCCUUCGACUACAUCUGUUACCUGUUUUGGUUAAGCGCCCAUUUAAGCUUCUUGUUAUACAACGUGAAACUUAUAUGGCAAGAGGAAGAUUCCACGGAUAACGGCUAUUGGAUACUUUUCCUAAGCCUUACAUGUGCAAAUAAUAUCUUUUUGAUAUCCGUUACUCUUUACCAACAACAAAGCGUCAUGACCAUCAUAAAAGACUUUUCCGAAGUAGAUGAUGCCUUAAAACGCCUUAAUAUCAAAAUUAAUCAUCCGAAAAUAAAGAAAACGGUUACCCAGAUGAUCGCGAUUGGUGUAAUGAUAAAAGGAUGCAAAGCGCUAUGUUAUCUAUUUGUAAAAGAAUUUGGAAUCUGGAAAAGAAUGUCGAUAGUGAUUGGUUCCAUUCUCAAAGGAGUGUAUUUCACAGGUUCUGCUUUAUGCGUGGUGGCUGGUCAUUAUAUAUCUAAAAUGACUAGUAUUGGAUUGUCCAGAAAGAACCUUGAGGGAUUAGAAAUCACCCAUCUGCGUAUGCUCUACUCUAAAAUGCAAAAUGUAAUAAAUAUAAUCCACAGGAUUUCCGAAUUAGCUAUUCUCACUGGUGUGGUUUACUCAAUAUGUCAUACUUGCCUUUCUGUACAACAUCUAUACAUUGAUAUGAAAGAAGCAAGCUCUAACAAUUACACAAACCCUAUAGGUGUCGUGUUACAUGCCACGUGCGUUAUCUUGGAAGCCGUGGAUGGGUUGAUUAUAGCUCAACAAUUCACGUACGUAAUAAAAAAGGCAAACCGUUUUGCUGCUUCAAUACAUGGUGGACGAACGACGUUUAGAAAUGCCCAGGAUGAAUUCAAUAUAAGCGUUCAUGAGCACGCCCGAAGCUCGUAAUAAACACGUCGCUCAAAUUUAUUAUAGGAAAUUCACACGUAGGUAUGCCGCUCUCCUGAAAAUGCAAUAACGAUUACGAUGUCAUUUAACCACAAGAUUUGAAUUUCAACUCGUUCGCAAUCCUUUUAGCUCCCCGUCUUUCGGCACUUGCAUAUAGUUAGAACAGAGUUCUUGUAAAUCCUUAUAUCUGAAACGAAAUAUUUUGUGGACACUUACAAUUCCCCCAAGUUUAAAAUAUUAGGUUCAAAGUAGCUCUUUAGGACUUCUCCAUGAAAAACUGUAUUUUGACUGCAUGGGUCUUUUCCCUCUAAACACCACCUUAAUUUAUUCGGCCAUUGGAACUACAAUAACAUUUAUAAUAUUCGUCGUGAAGAAUGAUUUGAACUUGUAGACGAAAAACAAACUGGAAACAUUGCGUUCAUAGUAAAUUUUGCACAGUUAAUGCACGAAUCCACCUACACUCAAGUGGAUAUGACAAAGCAUUACAAUUUUUCACGAAGUUAUCGAAGUGGCAGAUCCAACUAGGGCACAUAGUCCCUAAAGAAUUUUGCAGUAAUUUAAUGCACAAUGGUUUUGUAUUAUUAUAUUCUGACAAUCGAACAUAAUGUAAUUUAAUUACUUAAUUUUCUGUGUGAAAUGUA